rnacentral:lncRNA from 1 species
ACUUUCGGCCGCCGAAGGUGCCGCCGAACAUGCAUGAGUUUCGCCUCUGUCUGGGAGUUUCGGCCGCCGAAGGUGCCGCCGAACCUGCCUGACUUUCGGCUCUGGAGGGACUUCCGGCCGCCGAAGGUGCCGCCGAAAGUGCCCUGUCCAGCCUUUUCUUGCAUGCUUCCUAGGAGUGUUUUAAGGUGUUUUUAGGAGGUUUUUGGGGGUAUGUUUAGAGUUAUGUUCUUGUUGUUUGGUGCCUCAUUUGAGUCCACCUGUGUAGGUUCGGACCCGAGGAACCGAGACCCCCGGUUGUGAGAUAGUCGUUCAGAGUUCGUUGUUAAGCUUCAGUCACCAGGUGAGUGGAACAACCCCUUAAGUUUUAGAGUAAAGUAAAUGAAUAAAUGAAUGAAUCAUAAAGCAUUGCCCAUGCAUCAUUAUGCCAUGCAAUAUUUCAGGAUGUUUGCAUUAGAAUUCACGAAUAUGCUGCAUUGCAUAAAUUGAUGUUGAUGUGGAUGGUUGUUGGGUGAUCCAUAGUCCUCUGAUGUUAUGCGAUGAUGAUAUGUUA